rnacentral:rRNA from 1 species
AGCUAACGCAUUAAGUUAUCCGCCUGGGGAGUACGGCCGCAAGGUUAAAACUCAAAGGAAUUGACGGGGGCCUGCCAAGCGGUGGAGCAUGUGGUUUAAUUGAAGCAACGCGCAGACCUUCCAGCGUUUGACAUGGUAGGACGACUUCCAGAGAUGGAUUUCUUCCCUUCGGGGACUACACACAGGUGCUGCAUGGCUGUCGUCAGCUCGUGUCGUGAGAUGUUGGGUUAAGUCCCGCAACGAGCGCAACCCUCGACUUUAGUUACCAUCAUUAAGUUGGGUACUUUAAAGUAACCGCCGGUGAUAAGCCGGAGGAAGGUGGGGAUGACGUCAAGUCCUCAUGGCCCUUACGCGCUGGGCUACACACGUGCUCAAUGGCAAGUACAGUGGGCAGCAAUCCCGCGAGGGUGAGCUAAUCUCCAAAACUUGUCUCAGUUCGGAUUGUUCUCUGCAACUCGAGAGCAUGAAGCGGAAUCGCUAGUAAUCGCAGAUC